UGUGGGGACACGUAAGGAAAGCGGAAGCCGGGAAUGGAAAGCCCGGUGCAAGCGGGGUACCAGCCACUCUGGCAAAUCCGGGUGGCAAUGGGAAGCCGUGAUGCGGAGUGAAAUAAAGUAACGAAGUCCGUGAGCCAUGCGUCAAGAAAAGCCGCUAUUGUUUAUACCGUACCCGUACCGUAAACCGACACAGGUGGAUGAGGAGAGAAUCCUAAGGCCGGCGGAAGAAGCAUUGUCAAGGAACUCGGCAAAAUGGCCCCGUAACUUAGGGAUAAGGGGUGCCUGGGAAACCAGGCCGCAGAGAAUAGGCUCAAGCAACUGUUUAGCAAAAACACAGGUCUAUGCGAAACCGAAAGGUGAGGUAUAUGGGCUGACGCCUGCCCGGUGCUGGAAGGUUAAGAGGAGAGGUUAGCGCAAGCGAAGCUUUGAAUUUAAGCCCCAGUAAACGGCGGCCGUAACUAUAACGGUCCUAAGGUAGCGAAAUUCCUUGUCGGGUAAGUUCCGACCCGCACGAAAGGCGUAAUGAUUUGAGCGCUGUCUCGACAAUGCAUCCGGUGAAAUUGAAGUACCAGUGAAGAUGCUGGUUACCUGCGCCAGGACGGAAAGACCCCAUGGAGCUUUACUCUAGUUUGGUACUGGGACUCGGUAUUGCAUGUACAGGAUAGGUGGGAGGCUGAGAGACAGUAACGCCAGUUAUUGUGGAGCCGCUGUUGGGAUACCACCCUUGCAGUAUUGGGUUUCUAACCAGCCGCCGUGACCCGGCGGUGGGACAAUGCCAGACGGGGAGUUUGACUGGGGCGGUCGCCUCCGAAAGGGUAUCGGAGGCGCCCAAAGGUUCCCUCAGAAUGGACGGAAACCAUUCGAAGAGUGCAAAGGCAGAAGGGAGCUUGACUGCGACACCGACGGGUGGAGCAGGUACGAAAGUAGGGCUUAGUGAUCCGUUGGUAUUAAGUGGGAAUGCCAUCGCUCAACGGAUAAAAGCUACCCUGGGAUAACAGGCUUAUCACUCCCAAGAGUUCACAUCGACGGAGUGGUUUGGCACCUCGAUGCCGGCUCAUCGCAUCCUGGGGCUGUAGUAGGUCCCAAGGGUUGGGCUGUUCGCCCAUUAAAGCGGUACGCGAGCUGGGUUCAGAACGUCGUGAGACAGUUCGGUCCCUAUCCGGCGUGGGCGUAGGAUAUCUGAGAGGAGCUGUCCUUAGUACGAGAGGACCGGGAUGGACGGGCCGCUGGUGCAUCGGUUAGACUGCCAAGUCUACGGCCGAGUAGCCAAGCCCGGAAGGGAUAAACGCUGAAGGCAUCUAAGCGUGAAGCCCCCCUUAAGAUGAGAUAUCCCAUUCGAAAGAAGUAAACCCCCUUGAAGACGACGAGGUAGAUAGGGCAGAGGUGGAAGUGUGGCAACACAUGGAGCUGACUGUUACUAAUCGGGUGAGGGCUUGACCAG
rnacentral:rRNA from 1 species